UCGUUUUUCUGUUUUCCCUUUCGUCUCUGCUGUCUCGUCAUAUCUUCGUCCACUUCCACUCUCCUUCCCGAGCUUCCAUUCUAUUAUUUUGGAGAGAUUUUAGGGCUUUUUCAGUGUUUAGAUUCGGUCGCGAUCUCUCGAAUCCAGUCGGCUGCUGGCAAGAGAUCAGUGUUGCGAAGUUCCCUCCCGAUUCAGCGUGAUUUGGUCUCUCUUUUGGGAAUUUUAUCUCCUCCGGUCGCGGCUGCUGAUUUCAGCUCUAGACUUGUCUUUUCUUCGAUUGAUUGGCAUUGGGAAAAGGUUGAAUUUGUCUGGUUGAUAGCUGGUGCUUCUUUCGGGCCUCAGUAUUGGGAUUUGGAAAGGAAUUGUUGAUGAUUUGAGGGGUUGUAGUAGUUCUUGGAGUUCCAGUGCUUGUUCACUUCAAGGUGUAAGAGAAUAGAGGCAUUGUUCAAGUCCAAGACGAUCUUUGCUUUAUGGUGGUCUGCCAUCUUGCUUCAGGUAUUUUGGGCAAAUUUUAGCUUUCGAGUUUGCUGUUUCUUUAUGAGCGUGUCAAAUGUUUCAAGACUAUUGUUAUCCAAAAGUUGGGUCGAUGUAAAAGCCAUUUCUGCUUGUUAACUGUAAUCUAUCUUGCGGUCUGACCUCAUAAAGAUUUAUUCUCGUUUGUUCUUCUGCAUUGCAUCCGCUUAGUCUUAUGAGACGAUUUGGAGGAAUACAUAUGUUGUUGUCUCUGUUUACCAGUGUUUCAUCUUGAUCCCUCAACACAUUGGCGAGGGAUCUAGGUACCGGGCGAGUAGAAUUUAAAUUGGAAUUUAGCUUUGAAGAUUUUGUCAAUGAAGCUCCUCGGAUCAGUUCAGUCUAUUCACCAUUUCAUGAUUCUUCUUGGACUUGUUGUGUUGCUGUUUGCAUAUCAGUGUAAGGCCCAAUCACCAGGUGCAUCUUCAAGCUCUGCGAGUUCACUGAAUGCUCUUCUUCAGGAUUAUGCUUACCAUGCUCUUGUUCGUCCUCACACUGGAAUUAUCUAUCCUGGUAAUGUACCUUCGAAUCUCACUGGUAUCGAAAUUGCAGCAGUAAGACUCAGAAGCGGGAGUUUAAGAAGGAGAAGAAUGAGGUAUAAUGAAUUUGAGAUCCCGGCCGGCCUCAUUGUGCAGCCCUAUGUCAGAAGGCUGGUAUUGGUGUAUCACAAUCUGGGUAACUGGUCCUCUUUCUACUACCCUCUUCCUGGUUAUACCUACCUGACUCCUGUCCUUGGGAUACUUGCUUAUGAUGCAACAAAUUUGUCUGCGACUAACUUGCCAGAAUUAAGCAUUGUAGUUUCGGAAUCAUUCAUUUCAAUUAAUUUUACCAAUGUAACUCAUGUUCUGCGUGGGGAUGCUAGAUGUGUGUGGUUUGAUGUGAAUGGCUCACCGGAUUUCCAGAACUUGGUAUCAAGCAAUACCUGCUCAACAUACCGUCUAGGGCACUUCUCCAUUGUGAUCAACUCCAGUGAGAUAGCUCCUUCCCCAAUGCCUAGUUCACCUCCAGGGCCGGUGACUACUCCUGGUGGUUCUAAGAACAGCAAUGCUAAGGCAUGGAAGAUUGCCGGGGGUGUUGUUGGUGGUCUUGUGGCUCUAGCUGCCUUAAUGCUACUUAUUUAUUGUAUACGCCAGAGAAAGAAUAAGAAGGUGGGGCAAUUGGAGCAGCAUGCAGAUGCAGGGGUUUCUCUACAAACAGCAAGGGUUGGAAAUACACAGAUUCCUGUGGCUUCAGGGACACGGACACUGCCAGUCCUCGAGAAUGAACUUGUUGCUUAAGUGCUAUUGCUUUCUCCAGUUAAGGAACCACUUCAAGGAUUGAACUUAGGAACUAGCUGAAGACCGUCUUUUCAAGUGUUUCAUAUGUAUAGAACCAGAGGCUGCCAUUGCUACGUUCCAUGUUGUCCUGCAUUGGCUGACAUGGGUUGAACUCCGCAUCAUAGCUUAUUUACGUUACAAAGUUGUAGAUUCUUAAGAUUCAGACGUAGGAACUGGACAUAGAGAUGGACUGAAUCAUUUAAUCCAAUGACAUUAGGAAAGCGAUGAAAAGUAUAGGAAGGAACGAGAUGCUUGGGUUCUGGGAACCAGAAAUGUUUGUUUUUUUCCUUUGAAAACAGGUCCGGAGUUGAACCGGUCAGCAUCAGCAGGCUUUUUAAUGAAUAGUAUGUAUAACUUCCAACUGUUUAUAUUGGGGCUGAUUAAAUUUGUCUCCCGUGCUUGUUUGUUUUAAUAAAUUUAUGUUGAACUUUAGAAAUUAAUAAUAAAUUUCUCAGCGGUGAGCAAAGUUUAAAAUGUCAAAUCGUGUCGAAGUUACUGGUUCAGUGUCGGUAGUGGAUUGUAAUUGAAGAAGAAAGGAGAUAAAAUAUAAAUAG